GUGUCAGCAGCCGCGGUAAUACAGAGGGUGCAAGCGUUAUUCGAAAUUAUUGGGCGUAAAGCGCGAGCAGGUGGUGAGGUAAGUCGCAAGUGAAAGCCUCGGGCUCAACCCGAGAGAGUCUUGGGAAACUACCUCGCUAGAGGUGAAGAGGGGAGAGCGGAAUUCCCAGUGUAGUGGUGAAAUACGUAGAUAUUGGGAGGAACAUCGGCGGCGAAAGCGGCUCUCUGGCUUCAUUCUGACACUCAGUCGCGAAAGCGUGGGGAUCAAACAGGAUUAGAUACCCUGGUAGUCC
rnacentral:rRNA from 1 species